rnacentral:rRNA from 1 species
CAGCCGCCGCGGUAAUACGAGGGGGGCAAGCGUUGUUCGGAAUUAUUGGGCGUAAAGGGUGCGUAGGCGGUUCAGCAAGUCUCGUGUGAAAUCUUCGGGCUCAACCCGAAGUCUGCACGGGAAACUACUGGGCCUGAGUAAUGGAGAGGUGAGUGGAAUUUCCGGUGUAGCGGUGAAAUGCGUAGAUAUCGGAAGGAACACCUGUGGCGAAAGCGGCUCACUGGACCAUUUCUGACGCUGAUGCACGAAAGCUAGGGGAGCAAACAGGAUUAGAUACCCCCGUAGUCCCUGUCUCUUAUAC